rnacentral:tRNA from 1 species
CAGAAGAUAGUUUAAUUAAAAUAUUAAUUUUGGAGAUUAAAGUUGAGAAAUUCUCUUUUCUGA